rnacentral:rRNA from 1 species
GACGAACGCUGGCGGCGUGCUUAACACAUGCAAGUCGAACGGAAAGACCCUGCUUUUGUGGGGUGCUCGAGUGGCGAACGGGUGAGUAACACGUGAGUAACCUGCCCUUGACUUUGGGAUAACUUCAGGAAACUGGGGCUAAUAUCGGAUAGGAGCUCCUGCUGCAUGGUGGGGGUUGGAAAGUGUCGGCGGUUGGGGAUGGACUCGCUGCUUAUCCGCUUGUUGGUGGGGUAGUGGCUUACCAAGGCUUUGACGGGUAGCCGGCCUGAGAGGGUUACCGGCCACAUUGGGACUGAGAUACGGCCCAGACUCCUACGGGAGGCAGCAGUGGGGAAUAUUGCACAAUGGGCGGAAGCCUGAUGCAGCAACGCCGCGUGCGGGAUGACGGCCUUCGGGUUGUAAACCGCUUUCGCCUGUGACGAAGCGUGAGUGACGGUAAUGGGUAAAGAAGCACCGGCUAACUACGUG